UCCCUGGCAGUCCAGUGGUUAGGACAUAGUGCUUGCACUGCUGGGGCCCAAGUUCCAUCCCUGGUUAGGGAA
rnacentral:tRNA from 1 species